rnacentral:rRNA from 1 species
GUAGUAAUAGUUAAGGUCUUGAAACUUAAAAAAUUUGGCGGUAUUUUAGUCUAUUCAGAGGAACCUGUAGUAUAAUCGAUAAUCCCCGAUGGACCUCACUUAUUUUUGUUUUCAGUUUGUAUACCGCCGUUAUUUGAAAAUUUUAUAAGAAUAAUAAUUUUCAUAUAUUUUUAUUAAAAAAUAAAUCAGGUCAAGGUGCAGCAUAUAAAUAAGUAUUUUAUGGGUUACAAUAAAUUUAUUUAUUUACGGAAUAGAUAAUGAAAUUUAUUUAUAAAGGAGGAUUUGAAAGUAAAUUUUUAUAGAUUAAAAAAUUGAUU